UAGAGGAAAGGGCAAGGGUGGUUGUGAGUAGUAAUUUAGAGCCUGAACUCUUUCUUGCUGUAACUGGGAGGGUCUGUGCUUCCUCUCCCCAUACCCCAUUUCCUCUUCCUGCAGGAGUUAAGUAUGACAUUGACCUGCCCAACAAGAAGGUCUGCAUUGAAUCUGAGCACAGCAUGGACACUCUGCUUGCAACCCUGAAGAAAACAGGAAAGACUGUUUCCUACCUUGGCCUUGAGUAGCAGGGGCCUGGUCCCCACAGCCCACAGGAUGGACCAAAGGGGGCAGGAUGCUGAUCCUCCCGCUGGCUUCCAGACAGACCUGGGACUUGGCAGUCAUGCCGGGUGAUGGUGUUCCUGCGGAGACCCUCAGUUGUCCUAUUCCUUCCUAGCUUCCCUGCAAUAAAAUCAAGCUGCUUUUGUUGGA
rnacentral:lncRNA from 1 species